rnacentral:sRNA from 12 species
AAUCCCCUGCUUCGCCAAAGCCCUGCGUGCCACGCUGGGUACUUGUAGGCAAAGUGGGGGAUU